rnacentral:misc_RNA from 1 species
GUGUGCGUUUGUGUGUGUUGAGAGACACUGGGGAAGAGAGAGAAGGGGGUUACCUAUAGAGCACAAAGCCAUGCAUGGUAGAGGUCGGAGUGGAGUUCUGUCGAUGGUACCUAAUGAUCUCUGUGUAGCUUCAUAUGCGCCAGAAGGCACCAUCUUCCCUGCGACAGAACGCCACUGCGCUCUCUCUUUCAAUUAUUAAAGAAACUUUCUUC